rnacentral:misc_RNA from 1 species
GAUGAAGAACGUAGCGAAAUGCGAUACUUGGUGUGAAUUGCAGAAUCCCGUGAACCAUCGAGUCCUUGAACGCAAGUUGCGCCCGAAGCCAUUAGGCCGAGGGCACGCCUGCCUGGGCGUCACACGUCGUUGCCCCCCCAUCUACUCCUUCGGGAUUGCGGGGGGCGGAUGAUGGCCUCCCGUGCGCCUCGUCGCGCGGUUGGCAUAAAUGCCAAGUCCUCGGCGACGCACGCCACGACAAUCGGUGGUUGCGAAACCUCGGUUGCCCGUCGUGUGCGGUCGUCGCGCAUCGAGGGCUCGAAAAAAUUGCCGGGCUCCGGCUCGGCUUUCAACGCGACCCCAGGUCAGGCGGGGUUACCCGCUGAAUUUAAGCAUAUCAAUAAGCGGAGGA